rnacentral:rRNA from 1 species
ACGAACGCUGGCGGCGUGCCUAAUACAUGCAAGUCGAACGCUUCUUUCCUCCCGAGUGCUUGCACUCAAUUGGAAAGAGGAGUGGCGGACGGGUGAGUAACACGUGGGUAACCUACCCAUCAGAGGGGGAUAACACUUGGAAACAGGUGCUAGUACCGCAUAACAGUUUAUGCCGCAUGGCAUAAGAGUGAAAGGCGCUUUCGGGUGUCGCUGAUGGAUGGACCCGCGGUGCAUUAGCUAGUUGGUGAGGUAACGGCUCACCAAGGCCACGAUGCAUAGCCGACCUGAGAGGGUGAUCGGCCACACUGGGACUGAGACACGGCCCAGACUCCUACGGGAGGCAGCAGUAGGGAAUCUUCGGCAAUGGACGAAAGUCUGACCGAGCAACGCCGCGUGAGUGAAGAAGGUUUUCGGAUCGUAAAACUCUGUUGUUAGAGAAGAACAAGGACGUUAGUAACUGAACGUCCCCUGACGGUAUCUAACCAGAAAGCCACGGCUAACUACGUG